UACGUAGGGUGCGAGCGUUGUCCGGAAUUAUUGGGCGUAAAGAGCUCGUAGGCGGUGUGUCACGUCGGCCGUGAAAACCUGGGGCUUAACUCUGGGCGUGCGGUCGAUACGGGCAUCACUAGAGUUCGGCAGGGGAGACUGGAAUUCCUGGUGUAGCGGUGAAAUGCGCAGAUAUCAGGAGGAACACCGGUGGCGAAGGCGGGUCUCUGGGCCGAUACUGACGCUGAGGAGCGAAAGCAUGGGUAGCAAACAGG
rnacentral:rRNA from 1 species